rnacentral:rRNA from 1 species
CUUAGUGGCGGACGGGUGAGUAACGCGUGGGUAACCUGCCUUAUACAGGGGGAUAACAGUCAGAAAUGGCUGCUAAUACCGCAUAAGCGCACAGGACCGCAUGGUCCGGUGUGAAAAACUCCGGUGGUAUAAGAUGGACCCGCGUUGGAUUAGCUAGUUGGCAGGGUAACGGCCUACCAAGGCGACGAUCCAUAGCCGGCCUGAGAGGGUGAACGGCCACAUUGGGACUGAGACACGGCCCAGACUCCUACGGGAGGCAGCAUG